UACGAAGGGGGCUAGCGUUGCUCGGAAUGACUGGGCGUAAAGGGCGCGUAGGCGGUUUGUUGAGUUGGGCGUGAAAUUCCUGGGCUUAACCUGGGGGCUGCGUCCAAUACCAGCAGGCUUGAGUGCGGAAGAGGGUCGUGGAAUUCCCAGUGUAGAGGUGAAAUUCGUAGAUAUUGGGAAGAACACCGGUGGCGAAGGCGGCGACCUGGUCCGUGACUGACGCUGAGGCGCGAAAGCGUGGGGAG
rnacentral:rRNA from 1 species